rnacentral:rRNA from 1 species
GAUGAACGCUAGCGGCAGGCCUAACACAUGCAAGUCGAGGGGCAGCACGUCUUCGGAUGGUGGCGACCGGCGCACGGGUACGUAACGCGUAUGCAACCUACCUUUAACUGGAGCAUAGCCCCGAGAAAUCGGGAUUAAUACUCCAUAACAACAAGAAGUGGCAUCACUUUUUAUUAAAGCUUUGGCGGUUAAAGAUGGGCAUGCGUGACAUUAGUUAGUUGGUGAGGUAACGGCUCACCAAGACUUCGAUGUCUAGGGGUUCUGAGAGGAUUAACCCCCANACUGGUACUGAGACACGGACCAGACUCCUACGGGAGCAGCAGUGAGGAAUAUUGGUCAAUGGGCGCAAGCCUGAACCAGCCAUGCCGCGUGAAGGAUGAAGGCCUUAUGGGUUGUAAACUUCUUUUAUACGGGAAUAAACUUAGUUACGUGUAACUAACUGCAGGUACCGUAUGAAUAAGCACGGCUAACUCCGUG